UACGAAGGGGGCUAGCGUUGUUCGGAAUUACUGGGCGUAAAGCGCACGUAGGCGGAUACUUAAGUCAGGGGUGAAAUCCCGAGGCUCAACCUCGGAACUGCCUUUGAUACUGGGUAUCUCGAGUCCGGAAGAGGUGAGUGGAAUUCCGAGUGUAGAGGUGAAAUUCGUAGAUAUUCGGAGGAACACCAGUGGCGAAGGCGGCUCACUGGUCCGGUACUGACGCUGAGGUGCGAAAGCUAGGGGAGCAAACGGG
rnacentral:rRNA from 1 species